UUUUGCUGUAAAGAAUGAAAAUAAAAAUAUCAAUUAAGCAUUGGUAAAUAUUCUGGAAAUGCUGGAGAUUCAUUAUCUUAUCAUAAAAGCAUGGCGUUUUCAACAAAAGAUUCAGAUAAUGAUAAUCGUUUUGGAAAUUGUGCCACAACCUUCAAUGGUGCUUGGUGGUAUAAGAGUUGUUAUGUUUCCAACCUGAAUGGACACUACUAUAGUGGCAACCAAAACAAUGUCAAAGGUGUGACUUGGCAACGAUGGAAAGUUAAUAAAUCCUUAAAGUUCACUGAGAUGAAAAUAAAACCAUAAAGAAUUUCCAAAGACUGUGAUGUUAUAAAUUUGAUCAUUAUUUCUAAUGAAACUUUCAACAUAUAGUAAAAACAUUUUAGCUUUUAUUUCUUUUAAAAGAACCUUUAUAAUCAUUAUCAUUUAAAAAAGCAUUGAAAAAUUGUUAAAAAUGCUAUGGUGAAAUAAUAUUUUCCCUAAAAAUUAGAGCUGAUUUAGGUAAUUAUAUGAUUCUAAUGUUA